rnacentral:rRNA from 1 species
UACGUAGGGGGCUAGCGUUGUCCGGAAUCAUUGGGCGUAAAGCGCGUGUAGGCGGUCCGGUAAGUCCGCUGUGAAAGUCGAGGCUCAACCUCGAGCUGUCGGUGGAAACUGUCUGGCUAGAGUCCGGAAGAGGAGAGUGGAAUUCCGGGUGUAGCGGUGGAAUGCGUAGAGAUCCGGAAGAACACCGGAGGCGAAGGCGGCUUGCUGGGCGUGAUCUGACGCUGAGGCGCGAAAGCGUGGGGAGCGAACAGG